rnacentral:rRNA from 1 species
AUUGAACGCUGGCGGCGUGCCUAACACAUGCAAGUCGAGCGGUAACAGGUGUAGCAAUACAUGCUGACGAGCGGCGAACGGGUGAGUAAUGCUUCGGAAUCUACCCAAUGGUGGGGAAUAACCAGCCGAAAGGUUGGCUAAUACCGCAUACGUCCCACGGGAGAAAGCAGGGAUCGCAAGACCUUGCGCCAAUGGAUGAGCCGAAGUCGGAUUAGCUAGUUGGAGGGUAACGGCCUACCAAGGCGACGAUCCGUAGCUGGUCUGAGAGGACGACCAGCCACACUGGGACUGAGACACGGCCCAGACUCC